UCAGAAAAGAGUUUGAAGAAAAAGAGAAGAAAGAACAGAAAAAACGAGAGACUGAAAAACAGAAACGAUCAGAAAAAGAAAAACAGCAAAGAGACGAAUAUAAUCAAAAAACAGAAGAAAUGAAGAGAGAGAUUGAAAAUCAGAGAUCACAGUAUGAAAAACAGCAAAAAGAAAGAGAAGAAGAAGACAGAAAGAGAGAAGAAAAAUACAGACGAGAUCAAGAAAAAAUGAAAAAAAAACAAGAACGUGUUAUAACACAGUUAAAGAUGAAAGAAGAAAAAGAAAUAAAAAACAGAGAUUUGGAGGAGAAAAGGAGGAAAGAACAAGAAGAGAAAGACAGAAAGGAAUGGGAAAGAAAAAUAAAAGAGGCUGAAAAUGACAGAAAAGAGACUCAAGAGGAAAUUAAACGACAGCAGAGAGAAUGGGAGAAUGAAAAGAAACGACAGAUGAGAGAACGAGAAGAAGAAGAAAUAACGAGAAAAGAGAAACAUGAGGAACAACUGAGAGAAAAACAAGAAGAAAUGGAGAAAAUGAGAGCGAGAUUUGAAAGAGAGAGAGAAGAACGACAGAAGAUAGAGAAAGAGAGACAGAAGGAGAAAAGAGAAAGAGAAGAAAAAGAGAGAGAAUAUAAACAAAAGAAAACUGAAAUGGAAAGACAUCAUGAGCAGCUGGAACGAAGGAGAAAAGAGGAGUGGGAGAGAAGAAAACGAGAAGAUGAUGAGAGACAAGAAGAAGAGAGAAAGAGAUGGGAGAACAUGAUUGAAGAUCUGAAACAAGAACAAGAAGAAGAGAUCAAGAGAAGAGAAAGAGAGAGAAAAGAAAGAGAAGAGCAGGAGAGAGAUGAAAUGAAACAGAAACAUGAAGAGGAAAUAAAACAGAUGAAGAAGAAACAUGAGGAUGAAGCCAGAAAACAAGCAGAAGAACUGAAUGAUUUCAGAGUGAGAAUUAAUCAGCAUGUUCAGGAGCUCAAAGAGAAAAGUGAAGAAGUGAAAAAUCUGAAAAAGGAGAUUGAAGAUUUAAAAAAGAACCGGUGUAGACUUAUGUGAAAUUCUCAUAUUCAUUUGGG
ensembl:lncRNA